rnacentral:rRNA from 1 species
AUUGAGCGCUGGCGGCAUGCCUUACACAUGCAAGUCGAACGGUAACAGGUCUUCGGAUGCUGACGGGUGGCGAACGGGUGAGUAAUACAUCGGAACGUGCCUAGUAGUGGGGGAUAACUACUCGAAAGAGGGGCUAAUACCGCAUGAGAUCUACGGAUGAAAGCAGGGGAUAGCAAGACCUUGUGCUACUACAGCGGCCGAUGGCAGAUUAGGUAGUUGGUGGGAUAAAAGCUUACCAAGCCGACGAUCUGUAGCUGGUCUGAGAGGACGAUCAGCCACACUGGGACUGAGACACGGCCCAGACUCCUACGGGAGGCAGCAGUGGGGAAUUUUGGACAAUGGGCGCAAGCCUGAUCCAGCAAUGCCGCGUGCAGGAUGAAGGCCUUCGGGUUGUAAACUGCUUUUGUACGGAACGAAAAGCCCUGGGUUAAUACCCUGGGGUCAUGACGGUACCGUAAGAAUAAGCACCGGCUAACUACGUGCCAGCAGCCGCUGUAAAAC